ACACUGCCACCUAUUGGCACGGUGGUAGUUAUGACAUUGUGUUUACGGAACUACACAGAGUGAUGCGGGAAGCGCAGUGACUGUUAUCCUGAGACCAAUGCGAUUGACAUACCACUGCUGUACUGUGUUACAGGUAAUAUCCUAUGCAUUUCUGUGUUAGUUUUCAAUAUGUUUCAUUGCAAUUAUUGUUCGUCCGCAUGAGCAGCUCUUUCUAACUGUUAAGUAGCUCACGCUAGUUUGGCUAGCUCAUAGUUAGUGAAGCAGCCUGUUGAUUAGGUGUGUAUGACGUAUACCUGUGCUGUGUUUAUGCUCACCUCAUGUUAAACGGCGAAUGGGUUUUCUGCCUUUUUCUUAUAUUAUAAAAUGGAUUACUGUGUGGUGUUUUCACCAAUAUAAUGUCAGUACAUAUGGAGGUAUAUUUGAUUGUGCAAAUGUGAAUACAUUGUAGCCUAAGCAUUGUACUGUAUUAUAAUACAUUAGGUAAUAUCCACUAUACGAUCACAUCCAGUUAGUAUAAUUUCUUUUGUUAUUAUUAUUAUUAUUUUUGUGAUGAGAUCACA